rnacentral:rRNA from 1 species
UUGCCAGCCGCCGCGGUAAUACGGAGGGUGCAAGCGUUAUCCGGAUUCAUUGGGUUUAAAGGGUGCGCAGGCGGAUAAUUAAGUUAGUGGUGAAAUCCCGGGGCUCAACCUCGGAACUGCCAUUAAUACUGAUAAUCUGGAAUACGGUUGAAGUGGGCGGAAUGUAGCAUGUAGCGGUGAAAUGCAUAGAGAUGCUACAGAACACCGAUCGCGAAGGCAGCUCACUAAGCCGAUAUUGACGCUCAGGCACGAAAGCGUGGGGAGCGAACAGGAUUAGAUACCCUGGUAGUCCACGCCGUAAACGAUGAUAACUCGUUGUUGGCGACACACAGUCAGCGACUAAGCGAAAGCGAUAAGUUAUCCACCUGGGGAGUACGAUCGCAAGGUUGAAACUCAAAUGAAUUGGCGG